AGAGUUUGAUCAUGGCUCAGAAUCAACGCUGGCGGCGUGCCUAACACAUGCAAGUCGAACGCGAAAGUGGAGCAAUCCAUGAGUAGAGUGGCAAACGGGUGAGUAAUGCUUUGGAAUCUUCCCAGUAGUGGGGAAUAACCAGUCGAAAGAUUGGCUAAUACCGCAUACGUCUGUAAAGGGAAAGCGGGGGCUCGUAAGACCUCGCGCUAUUGGAUGAGCCAAAGUCGGAUUAGCUAGUUGGUGGGGUAAUGGCCUACCAAGGCGACGAUCCGUAGCUGGUCUGAGAGGACGACCAGCCACACCGGAACUGAGACACGGUCCGGACUCCUACGGGAGGCAGCAGUGGGGAAUAUUGGACAAUGGGGGAAACCCUGAUCCAGCGACGCCGCGUGUGUGAAGAAGGCCUGCGGGUUGUAAAGCACUUUUAGUGGGGACAAAAAGCUACGGACUAAUACUCUGUGGUCUUGAUUUAACCCAAAGAAAAAGCACCGGCUAACUCUGUGCCAGCAGCCGCGGUAAUACAGAGGGUGCGAGCGUUAAUCGGAAUUACUGGGCGUAAAGCGCGCGUAGACGGUUUUGUAAGUCAGAUGUGAAAUCCCUGGGCUCAACCUGGGAACUGCAUUUGAGACUGCAUGGCUAGAGUAUGGAAGAGGGAAGUGGAAUUUCCGGUGUAGCGGUGAAAUGCGUAGAUAUCGGAAGGAACACCAGUGGCGAAAGCGACUUCCUGGUCCAAUACUGACGUUCAUGUGCGAAAGCGUGGGGAGCAAACAGGAUUAGAUACCCUAGUAGUCC
rnacentral:rRNA from 1 species